GUGCCAGCCGCCGCGGUAAGACAGAGGGUGCGAACGUUGUUCGGAAUUACUGGGCGUAAAGCGCGUGUAGGCGGCAGCGUGUGUCGGGCGUGAAAUCCCACGGCUCAACCGUGGAAGUGCACUCGAAACUGCGCAGCUUGAGUCCUGGAGAGGAAGGUGGAAUGCUUGGUGUAGAGGUGAAAUUCGUAGAUAUCAAGCGGAACACCGGUGGCGAAGGCGACCUUCUGGACAGUGACUGACGCUGAGACGCGAAAGCGUGGGGAGCAAACAGGAUUAGAUACCCCAGUAGUCC
rnacentral:rRNA from 1 species